rnacentral:piRNA from 1 species
UGAGCAUGGUACUUGAAGCAUAAUUGUGCUGC